rnacentral:rRNA from 1 species
UGGGGAAUUUUGGACAAUGGGGGAAACCCUGAUCCAGCCAUCCCGCGUGUGCGAUGAAGGCCUUCGGGUUGUAAAGCACUUUUGGCAGGAAAGAAACGUCGCGGGUUAAUACCCCGCGAAACUGACGGUACCUGCAGAAUAAGCACCGGCUAACUACGUGCCAGCAGCCGCGGUAAUACGUAGGGUGCAAGCGUUAAUCGGAAUUACUGGGCGUAAAGCGUGCGCAGGCGGUUCGGAAAGAAAGAUGUGAAAUCCCAGAGCUUAACUUUGGAACUGCAUUUUUAACUACCGGGCUAGAGUGUGUCAGAGGGAGGUGGAAUUCCGCGCGUAGCAGUGAAAUGCGUAGAUAUGCGGAGGAACACCGAUGGCGAAGGCAGCCUCCUGGGAUAACACUGACGCUCAUGCACGAAAGCGUGGGGAGCAAACAGGAUUAGAUACCCUGGUAGUCCACGCCCUAAACGAUGUCAACUAGCUGUUGGGGCCUUCGGGCCUUGGUAGCGCAGCUAACGCGUGAAGUUGACCGCCUGGGGAGUACGGUCGCAAGAUUAAAACUUAAAGGAAUUGACGGGGGUCAUAGCUGUUUCCU